UUAAUGAAUUGACGGGACCCGCACAAGCGGUGGAUGAUGUGUUUAAUUCGAUGCAACGCGAAAACCUUACCACCUUUGACAUGUACGAAUCCUUUAGAGAUAGAGGAGUGCUCGAAAGAGAGCCGUAACACAGGUGCUGCAUGGCUGUCGUCAGCUCGUGUCGUGAGAUGUUGGGUUAAGUCCCGCAACGAGCGCAACCCUUGUCAUUAGUUGCUACGAAAGGGCACUCUAAUGAGACUGCCGGUGACAAACCGGAGGAAGGUGGGGAUGACGUCAAGUCCUCAUGGCCCUUAUAGGUGGGGCUACACACGUCAUACAAUGGCUGGUACAAAGGGUUGCCAACCCGCGAGGGGGAGCCAAUCCCAUAAAGCCAGUCGUAGUCCGGAUCGCAGUCUGCAACUCGACUGCGUGAAGUCGGAAUCGCUAGUAAUCGUGGAUCAGCAUGUCACGGUGAAUACGUUCCCGGGUCUU
rnacentral:rRNA from 1 species